UACGGAGGGUGCUAGCGUUGUUCGGAAUCACUGGGCGUAAAGCGCGUGUAGGCGGCCCAUUAAGUCUGAUGUGAAAGCCCCGGGGCUCACCCCCGGAAGUGCAUUGGAAACUGAUGGGCUGGAGUCCCGGGAGAGGAGGGUGGAAUUCCUGGUGUAGCGGUGAAAUGCGUAGAUAUCAGGAGGAACACCGGUGGCGAAGGCGGCCCUCUGGACGGUGACUGACGCUGGAGACGCGAAAGCGUGGGGGAGCAAACAGG
rnacentral:rRNA from 1 species